AGCAUAGAGAGCUUGCUCUCUGAUGGCGAGUGGCGAACGGGUGAGUAAUAUAUCGGAACGUGCCUAGUAAUGGGGAAUAACUAGCUGAAAGGUUAGCUAAUGCCGCAUACGACCUACGGGUGAAAGCAGGGGAUCUUCGGACCUUGCGUUAUUAGAGCGGCCGAUAUCUGAUUAGCUUGUUGGUGGGGUAAUAGCCUACCAAGGCAACGAUCAGUAGCUGGUCUGAGAGGACGAUCAGCCACACUGGAACUGAGACACGGUCCAGACUCCUACGGGAGGCAGCAGUGGGGAAUUUUGGACAAUGGGGGCAACCCUGAUCCAGCCAUUCCGCGUGAGUGAAGAAGGCCUUCGGGUUGUAAAGCUCUUUCGCAAGAGAAGAAAACUUACUAUCUAAUAAAUAGUAAGUAUGACGGUAUCUUGACAAGAAGCACCGGCUAACUACGUGCCAGCAGCCGCGGUAAUACGUAGGGUGCAAGCGUUAAUCGGAAUUACUGGGCGUAAAGCGUGCGCAGGCAGUUUUAUAAGUCA
rnacentral:rRNA from 1 species